GAUGAACGCUGGCGGCGUGCCUAAUACAUGCAAGUCGAGCGAACAGACGAGGAGCUUGCUCCUUUGACGUUAGCGGCGGACGGGUGAGUAACACGUAGGUAACCUACCUAUAAGACUGGGAUAACAUCGGGAAACCGGUGCUAAUACCGGAUAAUAUUUCGAACCGCAUGGUUCGAUAGUGAAAGAUGGCUUUGCUGUCACUUAUAGAUGGACCUGCGCCGUAUUAGCUAGUUGGUAAGGUAACGGCUUACCAAGGCAACGAUGCGUAGCCGACCUGAGAGGGUGAUCGGCCACACUGGAACUGAGACACGGUCCAGACUCCUACGGGAGGCAGCAGUAGGGAAUCUUGGGCAAUGGGCGAAAGCCUGACGGAGCAACGCCGCGUGAGUGAAGAAGGGCUUCGGGUCGUAAAACUCUGUUAUUGGGGAAGAACAAACGUGUAAGUAACUGUGCAUGUCUUGACGGUACCUAAAGAGAAAGCACCGGCUAACUACGUG
rnacentral:rRNA from 1 species